ACCUAGCUGACGAGUCCCGAACAGGACGAAACGUGAGUCCUGGAU
rnacentral:hammerhead_ribozyme from 1 species